GGGUUGUUAGCUCAGUCGGUAGAGCAGCGGACUCUUAAUCCGUAGGUCGAAGGUUCGAUCCCUUCACAACCCA
rnacentral:tRNA from 1 species